UGCCAAGAGUUUGAAGACAUCACAGUUCCGUUUAUUUUAUUUUUUUCUUCUUUUUUCCUUCUUCAAUUUGCAGAGAACUUCUAAGAGAGAGUUUGGAAGAAGAAGAGAAAUUUUACUAGAAUUUUUAGGUUGAAGAAGAGGAGGAGAACUCAAGCAAAGUGUAUCAAUGGCUGAAUUUCAGUUCAUUCUGCACAUCACUGGUUUUUAAUUUGGUUUGAACUCUUCCAAAGGAAUUAAGAGGAACAAGUUAAAGAGGUCGUGUGCGCGUGAUUCUUGAAGUGGUUCUGUUUUGAGGGUUAUAUGUGUUUAUGCACGGAGAAUCAGAUUUAUAUGUCUUCAGGCCGAGAAGAAUUAACCCGAGCUUAUAGACCAAGGAUUUAGCCCAAGACUGUGAGUGACAAAACCAACUUUGAAAUAUUUUCCAUAACUGUUAUUAUGAUUGAAUGCGAUAAAUGUUUAUUUACGAAGCCAUGAAAGGUAUUUGAAUUUCAUGACUAUUUUCAAGUAUACAUUUGGAGACUAGAUUUCUUAAAGAAAUUUAUGCUAGCACGUAGAUAUUAAAUGUUUGGAAAGUAUUUAAACCACAAUAUUUUAAGCAAAGCAUGAAUUAGUAUGAAGUUUUGUUUUAAGAACUACAAUUUUCCACGAAAGAGCUGAGUAAAGUUCGAGCUUUGUGUAAAAUUUAUAAGCAGGCAUGUUUUAAUAUUUUAUGAUGAUUUAUGAAAUUUUCAUUAACUACAUGACUGAGAUCUUGAGCCUGAGGCUAGAGAUUACCGUGUGCACACUGGUUAGAUUUCGUUGUUGACGUUGAGUGUACUCCGUAACAACGAUGCUGUCGUGAGUGCUGGGCGGGCCCCACUACGACAAAGACGAUGGGAGUGCUGGGCGGGCCCCACUACAUCGUAGUGCUUGUAAACGUUGUUGUACUAGGUGUACCCUACACAACGUAGAUUCGUCAUGUUAGUUAAAAUGCUUCGAUAUACUUGAUAUGCCUUGCUAGAUUUCAAUGAUGAACAUGCUGAGUAUUUAAGGAAGCUAUUCUUACUACUACACAUUUACAUUUACGACUUGUAUAAACAGAUUUAUAUGUGUAAAGUUUUCACGUGCUCUUAUCUUUAAAUUCAUAGUUUUAAACUGAGUCACUCACUGAGCUUCAUAGCUCACCCUUUCCAAAAUGUUUUACCCAUUUUCCAGGUAGAGAUCGAGUUCCCGGUGCCUGAUAGACUGCCUUAGUCUGCGGAAGCUUCAUUAUCGAUUGCCAGAAAAAAAAAACAAGGAUUAUUUAGAUCAAUAUAUUGUCUACUCGAUUUUUUGGGUUGAGUUUGAUUGAAGAGGAACUACAAGAGAUCUUUGAUAGCAACACUUCCCAAUCUUCAUGGGCUUCCAAACUUGUAAAAAAGAAGAAGCCUCUGUAGAGGGUAAUCAAGAUAUGAGGGUGGAGAUUUAGUAAAAGAAAGAGGCAGUGAAGAAUCCAUGAACCAUGGUAUCGAUCAAGUUCUCAUUUAUGUGUCAGUUUGAUUAGAUUAGGUCACACAUACAUGUAAUAUUACAGUAAAUUUAUCUUUUGGAUUAUUGUAAAAUCUUUACCGAUAAUGUAAG